GACGAACGCUGGCGGCGUGCUUAACACAUGCAAGUCGAACGGAAAGGCCCUGCUUUUGUGGGGUGCUCGAGUGGCGAACGGGUGAGUAACACGUGAGUAACCUGCCCUUGACUUUGGGAUAACUUCAGGAAACUGGGGCUAAUACCGGAUAGGAGCUCCUGCUGCAUGGUGGGGGUUGGCAAGGUUCGGCGGUUGGGGAUGGACUCGCGGCUUAUCAGCUCGUUGGUGGGGUAGUGGCUUACCAAGGCUUUGACGGGUAGCCGGCCUGAGAGGGUGACCGGCCACAUUGGGACUGGGAUACGGCCCAGACUCCUACGGGAGGCAGCAGUGGGGAAUAUUGCACAAUGGGCGGAAGCCUGAUGCAGCAACGCCGCGUGCGGGAUGACGGCCUUCGGGUUGUAAACCGCUUUCGCCUGUGACGAAGCGUGAGUGACGGUAAUGGGUAAAGAAGCACCGGCUAACUACGUG
rnacentral:rRNA from 1 species